rnacentral:rRNA from 1 species
GAUGAACGCUGGCGGCGUGCUUAACACAUGCAAGUCGAACGAUGAAGCCCAGCUUGCUGGGUGGAUUAGUGGCGAACGGGUGAGUAACACGUGAGUAACCUGCCCUUAACUCUGGGAUAAGCCUGGGAAACUGGGUCUAAUACCGGAUAGGAGCGCCUACCGCAUGGUGGGUGUUGGAAAGAUUUAUCGGUUUUGGAUGGACUCGCGGCCUAUCAGCUUGUUGGUGAGGUAAUGGCUCACCAAGGCGACGACGGGUAGCCGGCCUGAGAGGGUGACCGGCCACACUGGGACUGAGACACGGCCCAGACUCCUACGGGAGGCAGCAGUGGGGAAUAUUGCACAAUGGGCGAAAGCCUGAUGCAGCGACGCCGCGUGAGGGAUGACGGCCUUCGGGUUGUAAACCGCUUUCAGUAGGGAAGAAGCGAAAGUGACGGUACCUGCAGAAGAAGCACCGGCUAACUACGU